CUAUGUUGUAUAGGUACAGUGUUACUUGUUUGAUGGGUAUUCUGUGCUGAGAUGGGGCACAUAUGUUUAAUACAUGUUAUGUAUUUCUAAUACAUUUCUCGUGUGGUGUUAUUUCAUAUAACUAAAAAGAAGUGUAAAUGGAUUGCGUCAAAUUAUUUCAAGGGACAUGCAUGAGGGGAUCGCCAGUAUAUUCUCUAUCUUGUGAGGGGUCCUCGGUUGAAAAACCUCUGCUUUACUCUUCCCUCGAUAAAAGGUCAGUUUGGCGUAAAUAUAUUUGAGUAACAUUUGCAUAUGAACCUCGGAUAAAAACUAGUAACUCGGUGUUUUCUUACAGCCCAGAUUGUGUCCUUGUUGAUCCGUGCAGAGAACACCGACAACUGCUGGAUUCUUCAUGCUGCCAACAACAACACACAAACCAAAGAGCUUUCAUUAGUCUUUAACAUGACGACAAUUAAAAUAAAAACUCACACAGUCUUUUAUUAACUUACGUAUCAUCGAGAUGCUGCUCGAGGGUCGACUCCAUUAUUAAAAAACGUAAAUUACUGCAAAAUUCAAGUUUUGGGUAUGAAGAUUUGUUGUUUUGGUUGUCUGCUUCCUCAAAGCUUCCGGUUGGAGUCAGCUGACCGUCACGUGCAGAUAAUGAUCCCUGUGAGGAGCAAAAUACACGAAGCGCGCUAAAAUAAUAAACAAGACGGACCAAAAAACGCGACGCUGGAGGCCACCACAUGGGCUCACCUCCCUGCAUGAUUUCUACUGCCUGGCCCAAGAUGGCGAGGCUUCAGUGCUCUUGCUGACAGGGCAGAAACGGGUGAAUGUAAUUAUGUGGCCGCUGCAUUGGAGGAAUCCAUCACCUGUGCAGCAGCAGGAUAAUGUGCUGCGGACUAACCCAUGGGGCAAAUAUGUACAAGAAGAGGGGACUACUGUGAGCCUCCAUCAGCCGCCAUGCCGAUGAGUAAGAUGAUGAAGCUUCUGAGGAAACAGGCAGAGAGGGCGUGGGG